rnacentral:rRNA from 1 species
GAUGAACGCUGGCGGCGUGCCUAAUACAUGCAAGUCGAGCGAACAGACGAGGAACUUGCUCCUCUGACGUUAGCGGCGGACGGGUGAGUAACACGUGGAUAACCUCCCUAUAGGACUGGGAUAACUUCGGGAAACCGGAGCUAAUACCGCAUACUAUAUUGAACAGAAUGGUUCAAUAAUGAAAGACGGUUUUGCUCUCACUUAUAGAUGGAUCCGCGCCGCAUUAGCUAGUUGGUAAGGUAACGGCUUACCAAGGCAACGAUGCGUAGCCGACCUGAGAGGGUGAUCGGCCACACUGGAACUGAGACACGGUCCGGACUCCUACGGGAGGCAGCAGUAGGGAAUCUUCCGCAAUGGGCGAAAGCCUGACGGAGCAACGCCGCGUGAGUGAUGAAGUUCUUCGGAUCGUAAAACUCUGUUAUUAGGGAAGAACAAAUGUGGAAGUAACUAUGCACGUCUUGACGGUACCUAAACAGAAAGCCACGGCUAACUACGUG